AGCAAUUUGGCGCAGUGGAAGCGCGGUAUGUAAAAGUCAUCAUCGCACCAAGCCAAUCACCAACUAACUCAUCCAAGCCGGGCUCAUAACCCGGAGGUCGCACGAUCGAAACGUGCAAUUGCUA